GUUUGAUCCUGGCUCAGAAUCAACGCUGGCGGCGUGCCUAACACAUGCAAGUCGAACGCGAAAGUCCCGCAAGGGAUAAGUAGAGUGGCAAACGGGUGAGUAACACGUGGGUGACCUGCCUUCGAGUGGGGGAUAACGUCCCGAAAGGGACGCUAAUACCGCAUAACAUCCUGCCUUUGAAGAGGUGGAGAUCAAAGCUGGGGACCGCAAGGCCUGGCGUUCGAAGAGGGGCCCGCGCCUGAUUAGCUAGUUGGUGAGGUAAUGGCCCACCAAGGCUUCGAUCAGUAUCCGGCCUGAGAGGGCGGACGGACACACUGGGACUGAGACACGGCCCAGACUCCUACGGGAGGCAGCAGUGGGGAAUUGUUCGCAAUGGGCGCAAGCCUGACGACGCAACGCCGCGUGGAGGAUGAAGACCUUCGGGUCGUAAA
rnacentral:rRNA from 1 species